rnacentral:rRNA from 1 species
AUGAACGCUGGCGGCGUGCCUAAUACAUGCAAGUCGAGCGAACGGACGAGAAGCUUGCUUCUCUGAUGUUAGCGGCGGACGGGUGAGUAACAUGUGGAUAACCUACCUAUAAGACUGGGAUAACUUCGGGAAACCGGAGCUAAUACCGGAUAAUAUUUUGAACCGCAUGGUUCAAAAGUGAAAGACGGUCUUGCUGUCACUUAUAGAUGGAUCCGCGCUGCAUUAGCUAGUUGGUAAGGUAACGGCUUACCAAGGCAACGAUGCAUAGCCGACCUGAGAGGGUGAUCGGCCACACUGGAACUGAGACACGGUCCAGACUCCUACGGGAGGCAGCAGUAGGGAAUCUUCCGCAAUGGGCGAAAGCCUGACGGAGCAACGCCGCGUGAGUGAUGAAGGUCUUCGGAUCGUAAAACUCUGUUAUUAGGGAAGAACAUAUGUGUAAGUAACUGUGCACAUCUUGACGGUACCUAAUCAGAAAGCCACGGCUAACUACGUG